rnacentral:rRNA from 1 species
UAGAGUUUGAUCCAUGGCUCAGGAUGAACGCUGGCGGCGUGCUUAACACAUGCAAGUCGAACGAUGAAGCCCAGCUUGCUGGGUGGAUUAGUGGCGAACGGGUGAGUAACACGUGAGUAACCUGCCCUUAACUCUGGGAUAAGCCUGGGAAACUGGGUCUAAUACCGGAUAGGAGCGUCCUCACCGCAUGGUGGGUGUUGGAAAGAUUUAUCGGUUUUGGAUGGACUCGCGGCCUAUCAGCUUGUUGGUGAGGUAAUGGCUCACCAAGGCGACGACGGGUAGCCGGCCUGAGAGGGUGACCGGCCACACUGGGACUGAGACACGGCCCAGACUCCUACGGGAGGCAGCAGUGGGGAAUAUUGCACAAUGGGCGAAAGCCUGAUGCAGCGACGCCGCGUGAGGGAUGACGGCCUUCGGGUUGUAAACCUCUUUCAGUAGGGAAGAAGCGAAAGAGACGGUAC